rnacentral:rRNA from 1 species
GACGAACGCUGGCGGCGUGCCUAAUACAUGCAAGUAGAACGCUGAAGAGAGGAGCUUGCUCUUCUUGGAAGAGUUGCGAACGGGUGAGUAACGCGUAGGUAACCUGCCUUGUAGCGGGGGAUAACUAUUGGAAACGAUAGCUAAUACCGCAUAACAAUGGGUGACCCAUGUCAUUCAUUUAAAAGGGGCAACUGCUCCACUACAAGAUGGACCUGCGUUGUAUUAGCUAGUAGGUGAGGUAACGGCUCACCUAGGCGACGAUACAUAGCCGACCUGAGAGGGUGAUCGGCCACACUGGGACUGAGACACGGCCCAGACUCCUACGGGAGGCAGCAGUAGGGAAUCUUCGGCAAUGGGGGCAACCCUGACCGAGCAACGCCGCGUGAGUGAAGAAGGUUUUCGGAUCGUAAAGCUCUGUUGUAAGUCAAGAACGAGUGUGAGAGUGGAAAGUUCACACUGUGACGGUAGCUUACCAGAAAGGGACGGCUAACUACGUGCCAGCAGCCGCGGUAAUACGUAGGUCCCGAGCGUUGUCCGGAUUUAUUGGGCGUAAAGCGAGCGCAGGCGGUUUGAUAAGUCUGAAGUUAAAGGCUGUGGCUCAACCAUAGUUCGCUUUGGAAACUGUCAAACUUGAGUGCAGAACGGGAGAGUGGAAUUCCAUGUGUAGCGGUGAAAUGCGUAGAUAUAUGGAGGAACACCGGUGGCGAAAGCGGCUCUCUGGUCUGUAACUGACGCUGAGGCUCGAAAGCGUGGGGAGCGAACAGG